rnacentral:rRNA from 1 species
UACGGGGGGGGCAAGCGUUGUUCGGAAUUACUGGGCGUAAAGGGCUUGUAGGUGGCCAACUAAGUCAGACGUGAAAUCCCUCAGCUUAACUGGGGAACUGCUUCUGAUACUGGAUGGCUUGAGUUUGGGAGAGGGAUGCGGAAUUCCAGGUGUAGCGGUGAAAUGCGUAGAUAUCUGGAGGAACACCGGUGGCGAAGGCGGCAUCCUGGACCAACACUGACACUGAAAAGCGAAAGCCAGGGGAGUAAACGGG